CAAAUUAGAGCUUGAAUUAAGCAUUUUAGUUACAUUAAAAAGAUAAUUGGUAUCAAUUUAAUUUGA
rnacentral:tRNA from 1 species